GGGAAUGACGGGGAAGCAGUCGGGGGAAUACGUAUGGGUGAAGAGGGAGACGUGAGUGCUGGGCGUACAUCGUGCGUAUGCGGUUCGGUAAGUCGGGUGGUGAAUCCCCGGGCUCAACCGGGGAAUGGUAGUGUGUACUUGGUAGCUAGAGUGGGAUAGAGGUGAGUGGAAUUCUCGGUGUAGCGGUGAAAUGCGGAGAGAGCGGGAGGAACAGCAGUGGCGAAGGCGGCCAUCAGGAUCAACACUGACGCUGAUGCACUAAAGCGUGGGGAGCAAACAGGAUUAGAUACCCUGGUAGUC
rnacentral:rRNA from 1 species